rfam:Bombyx mori DNA, contig: Bm_scaf33_contig20414, strain: p50T/Dazao, build 2, whole genome shotgun sequence.
ACAACAUUCGGACCGUCGGUCUACCGAGCAAUAUCACCCGCUCGGUGGAAGAUCUUCCCUCUGUCGU